CUACGGGUCGCUCCAGUCUUGAAUACUUCACAAUGCGCGCAAGCGUGAUGAGGGGAUCCUGCGUGCAAGCGUUUAAACGUUUGCUUUUCUAAAGUCUAAAUAGCUUUAGGAAUAAAGGGUGGGCAAGACCGGUGCCAGCCGCCGCGGUAAUCCCGGCGCCCUAAGUGGUGAUCGCGUUUAUUGGGCCUAAAACAUUCGUAGCCGGCUAAGUAAGUUUUUGGUGAAAUCUGGCAGCUCAACUGUCAGGCGAGCCGAAAGUACUGCUUAGCUUGAGACUGGGAGGAGUUAGAGGUAUUCUAGGGGGAGCGGUAAGAUGCUUUAAUCCUUAGAGGACCAUCAGCGGCGAAGGCGUCUAACUAGAACAGGUCUGACGGUGAGGGAUGAAAGCUAGGGGAGCAAAGAGGAUUAGAUACCCGGGUAGUC
rnacentral:rRNA from 1 species